CCUAAACACCUCCCAUUAUGCCCUAUCUCCUAACACUAUUGCGUUGGAGAUCAAGUUUCAACAUGAGUUUUGGAGUGGACAAAAACUUUUUUUUUUUUUUUUGAGACGGAGUUUCUCUCUUGUUACCCAGGCUGGAGUGCAAUGGCGCAAUCUCGGCUCACCGCAACCUCCGCCUCCUGGAUUCAGGCAACUCUCCUGCCUCAGCAUCCUGAGUAGCUGGGAUUACAGGCACGUCCCACCAUGCUCAGCUAAUUUUUUGUAUUUUUAGUAGAAACGGGGUUUCACCAUGUUGACCAGGAUGGUCUCUAUCUCUUGAUCUUGUGAUCCAUCCGCCUCGGCCUCCCAAAGUGCUGGGAUUACAGGCUUGAGCCGCCGCGCCCGGCCAACAAAGCCUUUUAAAUCAUGGCAAGGAGGAUACAGAAAAAUUGGAACCAACGCAUAUUGCUGAGUGCCUUGAUGCCCAGGCUGGAGUGCAAUGACAUGAUCCCGGCUCACCACAACCUCUGCCUGCAGGGUUCAGGCAACUCUCUUGGCUCAACCUCCUGAGUAGCUGGGAUUACAGGCAUGCGCCACCACUCCCAACUAAUUUUAUAUUUUUAUUAGAGAUGGAGUUUCUCCAUGUUGGUCAGCCUGGUCUUGAACUCUGGACCUCAGGUGAUCUGCCUGCCUUAGCCUCCCAAAGUGCUAAGAUUACAGGCGUAAGCCACCAUGCCUGGCCCAUAAAACUUUGAUUAAAUAAAUUUGUUAUCCUUCUAUCUGGUUAAUCUAUCUUUUGUUAUAGGAGUGUCAGCCAUGACUCUUACAAUGGGUGAGGAAAGUCAUCACACUUUUCUGCUCCUACAAUAUUAAUGCCAUGGGUAGAGACUGGGCAUGGUGGCUCAGGCCUGUAAUCCAAGCACUUUGGAGGCCAAGGCAGGCGGAUCACCUGAGGUCGGGAGUUCAAGACCAGCCUGACCAACAUGGUGAAACCCAGUCUUAAAAAAAAAAAAAAUACCAUGGGUAGAACAUGUUGACAUUUGGGAAAUAUUCAUAUGGGAUGACAGGCAAGAAUUGGAAUUAUGGAUUUAGAAUUGAGGAAAGAAGAAAAUGAAGGGGAAAAAAAGUAAAUUUCACGAAGCAAUGGUUAAUAACAUAAGAUAGAGUAUAAUUUUAAUGCUGAAUUGACUACUCCAACACAAUUCUUUCCCUA
rnacentral:lncRNA from 1 species